ACGGGUGAAAAUCUUACCUGAGCCAGAUUGAACAUGUCACGGCCCACGAGCUGAGAAGCUCGGUUAAGGGCCUCGACGCCAGCGUGCCCACACGCGUCCAGACCCUGCCAGAGGUAAUUCUCUGACGGGUCAUCCAGAACGAAUCUGGCUCCCCCCUCAGCAUCGUCAAGGUUGGGCCAGAUUACGGGGCUCUUGCCCCAUCCGGUACCUUCCUCCCCUCCCGCCGCGGGGGCCUCGGGCGCCGCGCUGGACACCACGAUGGCUC
rnacentral:lncRNA from 1 species